rnacentral:rRNA from 1 species
ACAGCUAUAAUGUACUUGAUCUUGAUUCAUCCAACGUGGAUAACUGUGGUAAUUCUAGAGCUAAUACAUGCACCAAAGCUCCGACUUUAAUGGAAGAGCGCAUCUAUUAGAUUAAAACCAAUCGGGCCUAGCCCGUCAAUUGGUGACUCUGAAUAGCUAUGGCUGAUCGCAUGGUCUCGUACCGGCGACGUAUCUAUCAAGUGUCUGCCUUAUCAACUUUCGAUGGUAGUUUAUGUGCCUACCAUGGUUGUAACGGGUAACGGAGAAUAAGGGUUCGACUCCGGAGAGGGAGCCUGAGAAACGGCUACCACAUCCAAGGAAGGCAGCAGGCGCGCAAAUUACCCACUCUCGGCAUGAGGAGGUAGUGACGAAAAAUAACGAGACCGUUCUCUUCGAGGCCGGUUAUCGGAAUGGGUACAAUUUAAACCAGUUAACGAGGAUCUAUGAGAGGGCAAGUCUGGUGCCAGCAGCCGCGGUAAUUCCAGCUCUCAAAGUGUAUAUCGUCAUUGCUGCGGUUAAAAAGCUCGUAGUUGGAUCUGCGCCUCAGGACCCGGUCCGUCCUUUGGACGAGAACUGGGCGCCUAGGCUAGUACUGUCGGUUUUCCCUGCGUUACCUUGAUCGGUUGCGUAGGGUGGCCGGCGAGUUUACCUUGAAAAAAUUAGAGUGCUCAAUGCGGGCUGACGCCUGAAUACUCGUGCAUGGAAUAAUGAAAUAGGAUCUCGGUUCUAUUUUGUUGGUUUUCUGAUCUGAGAUAAUGGUUAAGAGGGACGGACGGGGGCAUUCGUAUCGCUGCGUGAGAGGUGAAAUUCUUGGACCGUAGCGAGACGCCCGACUGCGAAAGCAUUUGCCAAGAAUGUCUUCAUUAAUCAAGAACGAAAGUCAGAGGUUCGA